rnacentral:lncRNA from 1 species
ACACACCAGCUCUGCUCCCUUGGUGAGUCUGGCCAGGCUGUGUCACCUCUCCAUGCCUCAGCGUCCUCAUCUGCAAAGUGAGUAACAACAGAAUCUACCUCGGAGAUGGAUUAGAUGGAGUACUGCAUGUGAAGCAUUGAGGCCAAGGAACCACCUCAUUGUGCGUGCUCCAGGAAGGUGUAAUUAAAAUGAGGUUAGACUGAAUUGGGGACUAGGGUGGGCCCUUCAUCCAAUACGUCUGAUGUCCUUGUAAGAAGAGAAGAGACACAGAGAUAGGCACACACAGAGAGAACACCAUGUGAAGACACAGAGGGAAGAAGGUCACGCUACAGAGGCAGAGAUUGGAGAGAUACAGCUGCAAGCCAAGGAACGCCACGGACUGCCAGCCACCACCAGAAGAUAGGAGAGAGGGCAUGGCUCUGCCGACACCUUGAUUUUGGACUUUUGGCCUCCAAAACUAGCUGGCACAUAGAGGGCAUUGGAUAUAUACUGCAUGAACAGAUGAAGAGAUGACUAAAGACCAGCACAAAGGGUGGACUCUAGGAGCGUUUUUACAGUCGCAACUGAAACUUUUACACAAAAAAAACGGGUGGACGGGAGCAACCACCUAAGCUAGGCUCGUAGGCCGGGUCCCGCGGAAGGAGCCUCACAAUGACCCCGUAACGGUGACUUGGCGAGUCACGGUCGCCGCGG